GAUAAUUCUAUAUGCGAGUGUGAAAACUCAAACUUUUAAAUAACAAACUCACUAGGCAUCUUGGGAAUUGUAGUUUCUUUUAAAACCAUUGUCUUAACUUGGCUCUUUUGACUGCAUAGACUAUGCUCCAAUUAACUAAUCACACCUGAUCACAUUUAACAGCCUUGAAUUUAGUGAAUGGGUGGGGUUGUUGACUUUGAAUCCUUUACACACGUGUCUCUGACGUUUUAAUUAAGAGGUGGAUGUGCUCCCACUCCAACUUUGGAUUUCUUUUUUUCUUUCUUCUUCCCCAGGAGGCGCAGGAUAUGGGCUUCUGCCUUGGCUGAUGACCCCUGUCUGGUUUCCUCUCACACCUGCCCAACGUAGGUACAACCGGGCCCAUCGGAAGACGUGCAGUGUCAUCAAGCGCCUCUUUGGGUUUGCUUAAGUCACGCUUCCGAUGCCUCUCAAUCGCUGGGGGAGCUCUUCUUUAUUCCCCCUUAAGGGUUUGAGAGAUCAUCGUUGUCCGUGCCAUGUUGCACAAUGUGGCAAUGCAACAUGGUUUACCUUUAGAAAACGAUGAUAAUCUGGAACCCGAGAUUGAGGGGUACGUUGCCAAGUCCUGGGAUAACCAACCACAGGGGAGAAGAGUGCGUGAUCGCCUCAUCGCCUCUCACUUUCGUUAUCCUGCUGAUUGUGAUGUGCUGGUUUGAUCCUAGCAGUGAAGACCUACCUGGAACAGCUUCUAGUAUUUCUUGGAUCCUACUGUGUUGUGUGUCUACCCCCGUGGAUAGCCAUUGCUGCUGCUUAGACCAGUCUUGGCUACAGAGAAAUCAAAACCUUGGUUCUAUGGUUUAGAUGUGUCACUCCAGCUUUUGCGAGAUGGAUCAGCUGAGGAGAACAGACGGAUGCUGUUGACAUUCCAGCUUUUGCUGCUAACUGGCACAUUCAGGUCCUCUCCUAAUAAAAAUACUGCUCUGUCAUCGGGUCCCCCAUCACUCUGAUUUCUGAUCUCUAAAUUUCUAAGGAUUUGCAGGAUAAAAAGAGAGCAACCUGAAGGGGACAACGAACCGACUGCUACUGGAACCUUUGGACUUCGUCUGACCUAGUAUUCCGGAUCCGGGGAACUUGGACAUGUUAACCCUUCACAACCAUUCUGAUUUACACCAUCAACUGGACUCCCCUGCUGGCUAUCUAAUUCCUAUGAAGUCGUGCACCCCUCUUACGCAUGGAUUGAGAGUGCUGUUCUUAAUGGGACUACAACUAUGGCAUGGGCAGGAAUUUCGCUCUAAAACAUCCCAUGACUGCCAGCUUGGUUCACAGGAGAAGAGGACUGCACACUGCUGAGAUUGCUGUUUAUUUUCUUAUACUUUUGCACAUCAUGUGUGAAAUCCCAUGGUCUGUGUUCUCUCCAAUCAAUGGUCACUUACUGACUGGGACCAGAACAUACCUCUUCUUGCCUUUCACAAUUGUUUUAGGCUAUUGUUUUUUUACUGAAUAU